rnacentral:misc_RNA from 1 species
GAUGAAGAACGUAGCGAAAUGCGAUAAGUAAUGUGAAUUGCAGAAUUCAGUGAAUCAUCGAAUCUUUGAACGCACAUUGCGCCCGCCAGUAUUCUGGCGGGCAUGCCUGUUCGAGCGUCAUUUCAACCAUCAAGCCCCCCGGCUUGUGUUGGGGACCUGCGGCUGCCGCAGGCCCUGAAAAGCAGUGGCGGGCUCGCUGUCACACCGAGCGUAGUAGCAUACAUCUCGCUCUGGGCGUGCUGCGGGUUCCGGCCGUUAAACCACCUUCAUAACCCAAGGUUGACCGCGGAUCAGGUAGGAAGACCCGCUGAACUUAAGCAUAUCAAUAAGCGGAGGA